CUUUGGUUGACCUGUGUUUGUUUCCCCUUUGGGCCGUCUCUUCGCGCGCACACAUAGGAAAUGAUUGGGGUAUCCUGGGGUGAUCCCCUGGAAGAAAGGAUGAAGGGAUAACCUGGAAGGACUGGGGAACUGCUAAAAUGCCUCUGCUAUGUCAAGCCUUGGAGCUGUGGUUAGUGAACCAACUGUUCCCUUCUUGACCAAUCAAAGAAUUUCACACCUCAUAAAAAGAUCAGGGGGACAUGGCAUUUUGAGACCUGUUCUUCACAAUCAAAUGAAAAGAUUCGUUCUCUGCUAAAGGAAUUUUAGACAUAAUGAGCAGAUUGGAGAAGUUGUUAUUUUUGAAGUGGGGGAAAGAUCUCCCAAAGAUUUUAGCCUUCUUCCAAGAGCCUUGAAGUCUCUUGGGCAUGUGAUCUACAUGCUUCCUUUUCAUGUUUCUUCCUUUCAGGGUUGUAGUGAGGAUCAAAUGAAAUAUUUGUUAAGUGCUUAGCACAAUGUCUGGCACAUAGUAAGCACUAUGUAAAUGUUAUAAUUAUAAUUAAUGAACAAAUGUCUCUUCAGACAUUGGAGUGCCCUAUUAAAGUCCAGAGCCCCAGGGAGAGGGUAAAGAAAGGAUCAUCUCUAUGGAGAAGGGAAAAAUUUAUGACCAAAUAAGAGAUAAAGAGCAUUAUGAAA